rnacentral:rRNA from 1 species
CAGCAGCCGCGGUAAUACGAAGGGGGCUAGCGUUGUUCGGAUUUACUGGGCGUAAAGGGCGCGUAGGCGGGCGAAUAAGUCAGGGGUGAAAUCCCAAGGCUCAACCUUGGAACUGCCUUUGAUACUGUUUGUCUUGAGUUCGAGAGAGGUAAGUGGAACUGCGAGUGUAGAGGUGAAAUUCGUAGAUAUUCGCAAGAACACCAGUGGCGAAGGCGGCUUACUGGCUCGAAACUGACGCUGAGGCGCGAAAGCGUGGGGAGCAAACAGGAUUAGAUACCCCGGUAGUCCCUGUCUCUUAUAC